CCAGCCUGUUGAAUCAGAUUGUAAUGUACUUUCACGUUUAUAUCACGUAUGAUUGACGGUCCAGAUGAUUAUGCGCAACAUGUGCCUCCAUCAAACACGCACUGUUGGGUUUGGCCUCGUAAGCCUUCCUCAUUUUGCCCGAGGCCACCACAGAGUGGUGAGGAGGAGUCUACCGUGUAUUGAUGACAUCGACUUCACCAUUCAUUUUCUUUAAUUCAGGUUCACGCAAACAUUGUUUUAAACGUUGUUUUACUAUUGACAGUUACAGCUGACUUCGGGUUUGUAUAUAGAUUCGCUCUCCUUCAAUAAAAGUACAUCAGAUGUGUAAUGUACGUACAUGUUCUCACCUGGACUGCCUGAGGGUGACGUUGUACUAAUUACGACAUCGCUCCCGCACCCAGCGACCCCAUACACUGUCCCAACCUCUUCCUCCACAGUCCACACCCCAGGUCCAACCACAGAGUUGAAGACGGGGGACCAGGGACAAUGCUUUCAAGCAGUUCCACAGCAAGCGGACAGGCCGAUGGACAUUCUCAUUUUGUAACCAGAGCAACGAAGACAUUUUUCAGGAGCCAAGAAGGAGGUCUUCAGUUAAGCUGAAGGGAAUCUCAUUUGAGAAACUUGGCAUAAACAAGUGCAAAGAUGGCAUAAAGUUCACAAACAAAUCCAAAUGGACUUUCAUGAAAGGCAAAAAGACCACAGAAGGAAGCCACUGCUGAGCAAAUAUAACAAAUAUUUUUAAUUAAAAGAUGUUUGACCUACUAUGUCAUUUUUAAUUAAUGUUAGACCUAUGUCAGAACACGCUCUCACUGACAGUGUGUGGAGUUCAAUGUCCUGACCAAAGGGAAUUAAUGAAUUGCCUAGCCUACAUUAU